AGAGUCCCCCAUUUUGACUCUCCGCCAGCUCGCAGCAUCCAGCCAGCUCGGAGAGUGCUUUUUGGGUUUCCACGUCGGCUGAUCGGAUGAUGAGCGUGAGGAUCAGAGAGAACAAGAAACUGGACCAAGAACAUGAACUCGGUGACGGAGUCUGAUGGCAGUGAAGUGAGGGGAAUAGCCUAAUAAACAAAUGAAUCGCGCUUCCUGCAGCACCUGUUCCCAGAAACCCCAAAAUAUGCCCAUGACGUUCAGAAAAGAGAAGCUGCAGUCCAGUUGGCAAAACAACUGAAUUUAUUCAGCGGGAGAGAGGAAUUCAGCAGCUGCGGGGAUAACCUGGAGAGAGGCAUGUGGGAAUAUCACUCACUCCCGUCUCCAUCAGCCUGCACCAGGGCAUCAGCAAGAUGCAAUCCGACCUGAACCCGCAAGCAGGCUCUCCUGCUCACUGUGCCCCCGAGACCCAGCAGGAUGCUUGGCGAUGAGAAGAUGCAGCUGCGUUAGAAAUGGUUUCCUGCACAACCACUGACCACACCACACACACAAACCCUGCUCUGAGCUUGAGUUACUGUCCUGAGAGCAAAAAAUUAUUCUGUUUGGAAAGAAAGAGCUUUCUGAUGAACUGAAAGGAAAGUGAUCCUGCUACCCAUCUGGGUGGAGAUCCUGUGAACUGUCAGCACCAAGAUGGGAGAAGUGGGGUGGAAAGGGCCCAGGCCAAGGUCGGGUACGGACAAGACCAGGGCAAAUGUCCACGCUUGAGCUGUUGAAUAGUCAGCACCACAGGGCUUUGGGCAAGGUCAGCAAGGAGUCAACAGCCAGAGAUGCCAGGUGGGCAUGCCCUUGGGCAGAGCUGGAGGGAAAGUUAAGCAGCUAGGCAGGGAGCAAGGAGGCCCUUUCUUUGUUUCCCUGGCCGGCCACUGGUCAUCCUUUGGGUCUUGGCUCAGUCAUCCUUUCCUCAAGGUAGCUCAGGGUCAAAUCCGCUCUUAGAUACUCUCCUGUCACCCUGCCAUUCUCCUACAUGAGACUUCUAACUGAAGUGAUUUCAUUAUAACUGAUCUUUAGUGCUCCCUUCAGAAGACUCCACGAGGUGGGUGGCCACGUCUGUCUUCUUUAUGGCUAUAGUCCAGUACCCAGCACAGCGUGUGGCCCCUUGUCAGCCUUCAGUACUUAAGAUUGAGAGGAAGGAAGGAUGUGUAAAGGGCAUUUAAAAAAAAAGGGGGAGCCCUGGAGGAAAGGUAGGAAGUUAAAAUCAGAGGGAGGGGCACACAAAGUUUCAGCCUUCUCCAGAGCCCUUUGCUAAGGACCUGCCCCCAGGCUUGCAAAUGUAGCGGGUGUAGCUAAUCCUGACCUCACUCUGUGGAUACUUGAAAAGCAUGUGGUUGAGGAAACUGAAACAUGAAUCUCUCUGGACAAAUGGUCUCAUUUUAUUUCUCAGUGUUUCAUCUCGAUGUUUUUUCUUUCUCUGCUGUUUUGAGAUGAAAGCAAGCUGUAACCUGAAACUAUAGAUACUUCUCAAGGAUGACAGAAUGUUGAAAGAAUGUAGUUAAAAUGCUCAUUAGGGAUCAUCUACAGUUGUAAAGAUCAGGGUAGAGGAACAGAUUCCCUCAAUUCUUGGAUUUACUCAGGAGGACUUUACCAAAACAGGAUGAACCUCUGAAAAAAAGAUAAGCAUUUACAAUACUACUGCAAACAAAAUCUAAUGAAAGACAUCUGAAGGACAAAGGCCAAGGAACAGCUUCCAGAAGCCUGCAUUUUAUAGGCUUUGCUACCCCAAAUGUAUCAAAGAUUUUGGCUAUUUGAUCAGUGACAAGAGGGGACCCCAGGACUGAAGAGGUAAUUGGGAUGUUGAGUUUGGGACUGUAAG